UUUACAAGUUUUCAGUCCAAACUUCAUUCAACGCGCAGUAACUCACAUUGAAUGGAGCGUAAAAUACACGCGCCCCACUCAACGGUUGCUCUUCGCAAAUAGCGCUCCUUAAUGGCGUACUCUUCCACUUCUCCAAGCCGUUCGAAAAAAACACAAACCGUCUAUUUUCGAGCAACAUUGCAAACUGCAGAGAUAGGACUCGUCGCGAAGAUUAGAACUCUCCAUCAACACAACAUAGAACUCUCCAUCAACAAUCUCCAGAAAAAACGAAGAUAUAAUACUCAAGAAAAAAUGGCAGGCAGAAACCAAGCUGAAAAAAUCAAACCAAAGACCUUAAGUGUGCAACACAUUUGUUAAGUGAGAAAUUCAGAAACAUGAGCGAAGAGAAGAAAACAAUUGUUAGAUAUUUGGGUUUCGGUGGCCUGAUGCACAUCCCGCCGCUAAGGGUGCAUCACCAAAUAUUAAGGGAGUUGGCUAACUCCUUCAAAUUAGGGGGAAAACAGAUUGGAAACCGGCUACGGUUCGUUUAAAGUAAGACCAAAAACAAUAGGGGCUGCGCUUAGUAUCAACGCGUCAGGAGAUCUAUUUCCUCAGAAAGUCAAUUAUAAGGAUCUUUCUGAAGAUGACAAACAAAUUUUUAGAAGAUUCCAGGGUAAGACUCUCAAAAAUCUAACAGAUGAGAUGGUGGAUAUUGGCGUUGAUAAUGAACAGGAUCGCCUCAUGUUCAAGAGGAUUUUCAUCCUCUAUAUACAGAUGGCAUUUCUGUUACCAACGACAAUAAACAAAAUCUCACCUGUGCACCUGGCCCCAAUUUUCGAGAUGGACACAAUAACAGAGCGGAACUGGGGAGGGCAUGCUUUGAGUUUUAUCAUCAAGGGCAUAACAGAUUACAAGCUGAAAAAGAAAAAGGCAAUUGACGGCUGCCUAUUUGCCCUGAUGAUAAUUUACUUUCAUCUAUCAAAAAAUAAAGACAAGAAGAGGGCAGAAAGACCUCCAGAACCCUGGAUUGCCAACUGGAGUAAGGAGCAGUUGGUCGAAAGAAUGAGGGCGAAAAUAGAGGAACAUAUGGUAAGUGAGCAAAAUAUCUUGGGUGUAUUUUAUUUACCUGAAUGCCGCUAACUAAAAUUUCUAAUGUUUCAGGGGAUUGUAAAGAUGGCGGAAACGAAAGAAAAAAUGAAAAAAAUAAAGAAAAAAGAAAAAAACAAGAAAUCAAAAAAAAUAAAAAAAAGGAAGGCAAGUUCAACAUCAUCAUCGGAGACAGAAACAACUGAUAGUGACAAUUCUACCUCUGAUUCUGAGACUCAAGAAGACUCAGAGGAUUCACCAAGAAAAUAACCCAGCCAAAAAGCCAAAAAAAUGGAGUCCAAAAAAAGAAAGAAGAAUCAGGAGGAUUCUGAU